rnacentral:tRNA from 1 species
GCCGAGGUGGAGGAACGGCAUACUCGGGGCACUCAAAAUGCUCUGCCUGAAAGGGCUUGUGGGUUCGAAUCCCACCCUCGGCA